CACUCCUGCGGGAGGCAGCAGUGGGGAAUUUUGGACAAUGGGCGAAAGCCUGAUCCAGCAAUGCCGCGUGAGUGAAGAAGGCCUUCGGGUUGUAAAGCUCUUUUGUCAGGGAAGAAACGGUGAAAGCUAAUAUCUUUUGCUAAUGACGGUACCUGAAGAAUAAGCACCGGCUAACUACGUGCCAGCAGCCGCGGUAAUACGUAGGGUGCAAGCGUUAAUCGGAAUUACUGGGCGUAAAGCGUGCGCAGGCGGUUUUGUAAGUCUGAUGUGAAAUCCCCGGGCUCAACCUGGGAAUUGCAUUGGAGACUGCAAGGCUAGAAUCUGGCAGAGGGGGGUAGAAUUCCACGUGUAGCAGUGAAAUGCGUAGAUAUGUGGAGGAACACCGAUGGCGAAGGCAGCCCCCUGGGUCAAGAUUGACGCUCAUGCACGAAAGCGUGGGGAGCAAACAGGAUUAGAAACCCCAGUAGUCCCAU
rnacentral:rRNA from 1 species